UCCUCUUGACUGGUCACUUGACAGCUGGACACCGUAAGGACAGGUCGCUGAUAUUUGUGAUGAAGUCGCACAGCCGGGAUUUUUAUUCAGCUUCGAAAAUUGCAAAAAAAUCGUAAUUUGGAACAUUAACGAGAGAAAACUAUAACUGCAAACGCCUUUGCCGAGAUCCUGCUGAGUGCACGUGCGCCUGACUAAAGAUUCCCUGGUCUCCGAGACGUAUUUUAAAAUCUGCCGCAGAUCCACAUCCAUUCGCACCGCAGAUGCUAUUUGUUGAAAAUUGUACAUGGUCUCUCUCUCUCUCUCUCUCUCUCUCUCUCUGAUUUUUAACCACUUUUUAACAUAUUGAAACAGAGCGAUCGUGUUCCCUUUAGAAAUUUCACUUAGAAAUCGUUCCUUUGUUUUUUAAUAUAUAUUAUACCCUAGGGACUGACCAUGAUAUUUUUAAAAUUAUACCUUAGGGCAUGCUAUG